CGGCGUUUUGGGACGGAACCAAGAAACCGAGUCUGGGCGUCACCGUUCGGCUUUUGUGGGCAAGAAACUUCGAGAUCACUCAGAAUCGGACCACCCAGUAGCUAGAUGUCGACUUUCGAGGCCUCGGACCCCGUUCCAAGUCCGACCGUCCCUUUCUAGGCCAUUGUGCCUUUCUUCGGCGUUUUGGGACGGAACCAAGAAACCGAGUCUGGGGCGUCACCGUUCGGCUUUUGUGGGCAAGAAACUUCGAGAUCACUCAGAAUAGGACCACCCAGUAGCUAGAUGUGGACUUUCGAGGCCUCGGACCCCGUUCCAAGUCCGACCGUCCCUUUCCAGGCCAUUGUGCCUUUCUUCGGCGUUUUGGGACGGAACCAAGAAACCGAGUCUGCGGCGUCACCGUUCGGCGUUUUGUGGGCAAGAAACUUCGAGAUCACUCAGAAUCGGACCACCCAGUAGCUAGAUGUGGACUUUCGAGGCCUCGGACCCCGUUCCAAGUCCGACCGUCCCUUUCCAGGCCAUUGUGCCUUUCUUCGGCGUUUUAGGACGGAACCAAGAAACCGAGUCUGCGGCGUCACCGUUCGGCUUUUUGUGCGGCAAGAAACUUCGAGAUCACUCAGAAUCGGACACCCCAGUAGCUAGAUGUGGACUUUCGAGGCCUCGGACCCCGUUCCAAGUCCGACCGUCCCUUUCUAGGCCAUUGUGCCUUUCUUCGGCGUUUUGGGACGGAACCAAGAAACCGAGUCUGCGGCGUCACCGUUCGGCUUUUGUGGGCAAGAAACUUCGAGAUCACUAAGAAUGGAUCGGACCACCCAGUAGCUAGAUGUGGACUUUCGAGGCCUCGGACCCCGUUCCAAGUCCGACCGUCCCUUUCUAGGCCAUUGUGCCUUUCUUUCGGCGUUUUGGGACGGAACCAAAGAAACCGAGUCUGGCGGCGUCACCGUUCGGCUUUUGUGGGCAAGAAACUUCGAGAUCACUCAGAAAUCGGACCACCCAGUAGCUAGAUGUGGACUUUCGAGGCCUCGGACCCCGUUCCAAGUCCGACCGUCCCUCUUCAGGCCAUUGUGCCUUUCUUCGGCGUUUUGGGACGGAACCAAGAAACCGAGUCUGGGGCGUCACCGUUCGGCUUUUGUGGGCAAGAAACUUCGAGAUCACUCAGAAUCGGACCACCCAGUAGCUAGAUGUGGACUUUCGAGGCCUCGAACCCCGUUCCAAGUUCCGACCGUCCCUUUCCAGGCCAUUGUGCCUUUCUUCGGCGUUUUGGGACGGAACAAGAAACCGAGUCUGGGCGUCACCGUUCGGCUUUUGUGGGCAAGAAACUUCGAGAUCACUCAGAAUCGGACCACCCAGUAGCUAUUAGUGGACUUUCGAGGCCUCGGACCCCGUUCCAAGUCCGACCGUCCCUUUCUAGGCCAUUGUGCCUUUCUUCGGCGUUUUGGGACGGAACCAAGAAACCGAGUCGGGGCGUCACCGUUCGGCUUUUGUGGGCAAGAAACUUCGAGAUCACUCAGAAUCGGACCACCCAGUAGCUAGAUGUGGACUUUCGAGGCCUCGGACCCCCGUUCCAAGUCCGACCGUCCCUUUCUAGGCCAUUGUGCCUUUCUUCGGCGCUUUGGGACGAACCAAGAAACCGAGUCUGGGGCGUCACCGUUCGGCUUUUGUGGGCAAGAAACUUCGAGAUCACUCAGAAUCGGACCACCCAGUAGCUAGAUGUGGACUUUCGAGGCCUCGGACCCGUUCCAAGUCCGACCGUCCCUUUCCAGGCCAUUGUGCCUUUCUUCGGCGUUUUGGGACGGAACCAAGAAACCGAGUCUGCGGCGUCACCGUUCGGCUUUUGUGGGCAAGAAACUUCGAGAUCACUAAGAAUCGGACUCGGACCACCCAGUAGCUAGAUGUGGACUUUCGAGGCCUCGGACCCCGUUCCAAGUCCGACCGUCCCUUUCUAGGCCAUUGUGCCUUUUCUUUGCGUUUUGGGACGGAACCAAGAAACCGAGUCUGGGCCGUCACCGUUCGGCUUUUGUGGGCAAGAAACUUCGAGAUCACUCAGAAUCGGACCACCCAGUAGCUAGAUGUGGACUUUCGAGGCCUCGGACCCCGUUCCAAGUCCGACCGUCCCUUUCUAGGCCAUUGUGCCUUUCUUCGGCGUUUUGGGACGGAACCAAGAAACCGAGUCUGGGGCGUCACCGUUCGGCUUUUGUGGGCAAGAAACUUCGAGAUCACUCAGAAUCGGACCACCCAGUAGCUAGAUGUGGACUUUCGAGGCCUCGGACCCCGUUCCAAGUUCGACCGUCCCUUUCCAGGCCAUUGUGCCUUUCUUCGGCGUUUUGGGACGGAACCAAGAAACCGAGUCUGGGCGUCACCGUUCGGCUUUUGUGGGCAAGAAACUUCGAGAUCACUCAGAAUCGGACCACCCAGUAGCUAGAUGUGGACUUUCGAGGCCUCGGACCCGUUCCAAGUCCGACCGUCCCUUUCUAGGCCAUUGUGCCUUUCUUCGGGUUUGGGACGGAACCAAGAAACCGAGUCUGGGCGUCACCGUUCGGCUUUUGUGGGCAAGAAACUUCGAGAUCACUCAGAAUCGGACCACCCAGUAGCUAGAUGUGGACUUUCGAGGCCUCGGACCCCGUUCCAAGUCCGACCGUCCCUUUCCAGGCCAUUGUGCCUUUCUUCGGCGUUUUGGGACGGAACCAAGAAACCGAGUCUGGGGCGUCACCGUUCGGCUUUUGUGGGCAAGAAACUUCGAGAUCACUCAGAAUCGGACCACCCAGUAGCUAGAUGUGGACUUUCGAGGCU
rnacentral:lncRNA from 1 species